GUGGUUUUACAGGGGGAUCCUACUUUGU
rnacentral:piRNA from 1 species